AAUAAUCCUGCAAUCUGCCCGGGACUUGGAGGAGGAGGAGGAAGAAGAGGGCAUGGAGCAGGGGCUGGAGGAAGAAGAAGAAGAGGUGGACCCCUGGAUCCAGGGAGAACUGGAGAAGUUAAAUCAAUCCACGGAUGACAUCAACAGACAGGAGACUGAACUCGAGGAUGCCCGUCAGAUGUUCUGCUCUGUUCUGGUUGAAGCAACGGUGAAGCUGGACGAAUUGUUGAAGAAAAUCGGCAAAGCCGUGGAAGACUCGAAGCCCUACUGGGAGGCAUGGAGGGUGGCAAGGCAGGCUCAACUCGAAGCGCAGAAAGCCACUCAGGACUUCCAAAGGGUCACUGAGGCACUCCAUGCUGCCAAGGAGACCAUCUCCCUGGCUGAGCAGCAGCUGCUGGAGGAUGACAAGAGGCAUUUCGACUCAGCCUGGCAGGAGAUGCUGAAUCAUGCCACUCAGAGGGUCAUGGAAGUGGAGCAGACCAAAACAAGGAGCGAGCUGGUGCAUAAGGAGACAGCGGCCAGGUACAAUGCUGCUAUGGGCCACAUGAGACAGCUGGAGAAGAAAAGAGAGCCAUCAACAAGUCCAAGUCUUAUUUUGAACCCAAGGCAAAGUACUACGUGCAGCUUGAGCAACUGAGGAAGACCAUGGAUGACCUGCAGGCCAAACUUACGCUGGCAAAAGGCGAGUACAAGAUGGCCCUGAAGAACCUGGAUAAGAUCCGUUAGCAGUGGUGCUCCAGUGCCAUAGGACCUCAGGGCUGCGGCGUUGGGGCUGAGGGCAGUAGCACAUCUGUGGAGGACCUGUCAGGGAGCAAGCCUGAGUCGGAUACCGUUUCUGUGGCCUCGGAGGCCUUUGAAGAUGACAACUGUACCAACUUUGUGUCUGAAGAUGACUCAGAAACCCAGUCUGAAUCCGCCUUUAGUUCAGGACCAACGAGCCAGUCUGAGAUGCCCGACCAGUUCCCUGCAGCUGUGAGGCCUGGCAGCCUGGAUCUGUCCAGCCCUGCAUCCCUGUCGGAGUUUGGGAUGAUUUUCCCAGUCUUGGGCCCUCGAAGUGAAUGCAGUGGAGGCUCCUCCCCUGAAUGUGAGGUGGAACGAGGAGACAGGGCAGAAGGGGCAGAGAAUAAAAUGAGCGACAAAGCCAACAACAACCAGGAUCUCAGAAGGAAGAGAAUAAUUGUUAGAGGAACCUUAACCCCAAAGCAGUCUGCCUUAAGAGAAGGGAGGAAGAAAAAGUUUCUGCCAUAUUGGCAGAGCCGCCAACCACACUGCCUGGAACCCAUCCCAGGCUUAGUGAAACUACCAAACCUAUGGGUCAUAUGUAAACAUCAGCCAGCAUUUGUGGAGCUGGAUGAUAGACUAACCCAGCCAAAACAGGCCAGCCUAAUUCCUCCACCCGGCUUUGCAGUAGUGGUGAAUAAAGGACUCACCUGGAUGUACUCGGGCCCCACCCACCACCAGGGGCAUUAA